AGUUUUCAUAAUGGUAAGAUACGGAUAAUUUCAUGAAUUAAAUCCGAAGGAUUCUGUAAAUGGAACACAUUCCCUUCCCAAUCGAGAUUCGAAAUGAUGGGUUUUCUCUUUGAGGUUUGGAAAUUGAUCGGAAAAAUCCUAGAUUCAUUUAUAUAUGCCCGAAUCACUUCAACUGGAUAUAAUUUGUGAUAAGAUUAGUAAACGUUAGCCCAUUGCCCUUCCAACUCCAUACAUUUGAGAGCAAAGAGACUAAGACUUCAAGCACUUCUCUGAUUAAAAGUAUGAGUACUUUAUCAGAGGACACUUUUCCGAAGAGGAAACCUAGGGCAAAAUUAGUUACCAAUUAUUUUGUUGUUAUGAUACCUACAUACAAUAUACAUGAGUAAAACCUCCAGACCCUCCCCAACCUUUUGAAAAGAAGCAUCAGAAGAAAUUGUUCAAUCAGAGAAAAUAUUUACAGAGAAAACAUUGAACCUAAAGUUUCUGCAAUCAAACGAAAAAAACCUAUGUUUGGGACAUGGCUGAAGAAGAAUUCAGUUCGGAUAAAACAAGGCCAAACUUCAUAUUCAUGAGGAGAACUAUUUUUCGCUUCGGAGUAAUGUUCAUUCUGUAGUCGAAGCUAUGGAACUUGAAUAAUCUGCUAUAUUUCAGAGUAAAUCCUUUCAUCACAGUCAUCUAUAAGUGCUUCUAAGGCUCCUCUUUCUGGUAAAGGAAUAAAUGUUUGAGAGGAAGUUGAAAGACCUAUCAACACAGAUAUACAGUCCUGCAUUGAGAUCAUUUACUUUGACAUUCUAAUCCCCAAGAGCUAAUUAU